GGGCCCGCACAAGCGGUGGAGCAUGUGGUUUAAUUCGAUGAUACGCGAGGAACCUUACCAGGGCUUAAAUGUAGUAUGACCGGCUUGGAAACAGGCCUUCUCUUCGGAGCAGAUUACAAGGUGCUGCAUGGUUGUCGUCAGCUCGUGCCGUGAGGUGUUAGGUUAAGUCCUGCAACGAGCGCAACCCCUAUUCUUAGUUGCCAGCGGUUCGGCCGGGGACUCUAAGAAGACUGCCAGCGCAAGCUGAGAGGAAGGUGGGGAUGACGUCAAAUCAUCACGGCCCUUACGUCCUGGGCUACACACGUGCUACAAUGGUAAGGACAAAGGGCAGCGAGCCGGCGACGGUUAGCGAAUCCCAAAAACCUUAUCUCAGUUCGGAUUGGAGUCUGCAACUCGACUCCAUGAAGCUGGAAUCGCUAGUAAUCG
rnacentral:rRNA from 1 species